rnacentral:lncRNA from 1 species
CUUCCUUUUAAUUAUAGAUGGGAAAGGAAAUCAGAUCCCCUUCAGAAAGAAGUAGGAUGUUGAUAAGUUGUUUUAAAACAGUCAUAAGUAUAAUGCAUUUGCUAGAAUCAUGUUUAUUUGCUUUACCACAUCAGGAAAAUGAAGAGAAAUACCUUCUGAGAUUUUGAUGAUAACAUAAAAAUGAACAUCUAAAGUCUAAUUUGAUGUUAAUUUCUCUCUCCGCAUAUGUAAAUAUUUGUGUGUACAUUUACGAAGUGUAUGUAUAUAUAUGUAUGUACUUAUAUAUACAUACAUGUAUACAUUCAUAUAUUUAUAAAAUUAUAUAUAAGAUAUAUAAAGAUUAGUGCAGAAGCAUCUUUAUUUAUAUGUUUACUUAAUUCCUAUAAAUAAUCAAUAAAGACUGACUUAAAACUUGAAGUAUAUAUUUUUUUUCCUGACUUUACUGCUUAUCCAUGGAUAAUAUCAUGUAAGGUUCUCCAUUUAAAGAGAUUUUUUCUAGUUUUAUUGAGAUAUAAUUGACAUGCAUCACUGUAUGUGUUUAAGUUGUGCAGCUUAAUGGUUUGACUUAUAAAGUGAGAAAAGUCUUGAAAACAUAUGAUACAUUUUAUUCCUUAAAGACAUAAAAGUUGCCUUAGCUACUACUUCUUAAGCUAAUCAGUUAACUAAUUGAUUUCCAUGAAAUGUUUAAUAUAGUAACUAUGAAUUUGGAUAUUGGAAAAUUUCCUUUUAAAGACAGAAACUUAAAGCAAACUCUAAUGAAGUUAAACCCAUUGAUUAUACAAAAAUAUCUACCUAGUGAACCAGAUCCAAUCAACGUUGUCUAGGAAAACCUAUCAGAGCUAGUAGGUGGAUGGGCCUUCCUGCCUUCUAAUACUUAAUGGAAAUAAGGUUGGUUAAUGUUAUAUUUAAAUAUAUAAUGAUUUUUCUGCAUGGAAAAUAAGCAUUUGGGGGAAAGUGUGGUCUGGGGAACAUCCCAGGACCAGAAAGCCAAUAAAGAGGAGUUUUUAAUUCAGUUUCGCCACCAUGUUUGCUAAGUGAACUUGAGUGAAUUACUUAGAUGUUUUUCAUCUACAAAAUGAAUAUACAAAUAGUGGUGCCAUAAAGCCGUGAUAUAAGUUAAACUGCACAUCACACAGCAUGGGAGGCCAGUACAAUAUAGCAGCCUCUUCCCCCACGUAAAUUUAAUGACAUAGUGGAAAUACUCCAUAAAACGUAGCAACAGUAAACCUCCAUUUGCCAAUAUUCUGAAUAGUAAAGUGUUUGCUAAACUAGAUACAAAAGAUUUCAUAUCUUCUCGCUAUUACGUGUCUUAAAUUUUUCUGUGUUUGUCAUCAUUCAGAAUCUUUCUUGGGCCACCAGGAUCUGGCAACCUAAUCACAGUUAAUUUCUUGCUGCUAAUUAAUGAUUUAUUUCCUCCAGCAUCACUUAUCUGAUCUCCAAAGGCACAGUAUUCAAAUGUGUGCAGUCUGAAGGAGCCAGGCCAUUUUAGCUUUUAUAGUGUGUGUCACAUAUUUCUAUAGCGUGUUACAGGAAUAGGUGACAGUAACAGGAAGGCUUUUGCAUGGGAACUUCUGCUUUCAGGUGCACCUUCCUCUGCUACUCUUGGGAAAACAGAGAUCCUCGUACUUCUGGGUCUGGGGGUGUCAGAAGCCCCUCUGUCCUAAUGACCCUAACCUUAGACAUUGGACUUCUCUCCAUCUGAGAUGCAAAUUCUCUUCCCUCAUGUUUCUGAAAUGACCUCUAACAUAAGGUCUUUGCCUCUGGAAGACUUUUACUGAAAUUUUGCAAGAUGCAGAGUGUAAUUAAAGCCCAGGAAAGAUGAUGAUAAGCAUUGCUCUUGCUGUUAUUUAUCAGGCCUUUCUCACACCAGGAAAAUUGCCACCAUUAAGUUAUGUUAUUCAUCCUAUCUCUUCUUUUCUUUAACCACACUCCCCUCAUAUAUGCAGAACCCACAAGUUUAUGUUAUCUUUUCAUGUGAAUCAGGUUGGGUUUUUCCCUCUUCUUAAUCCUGACUCUGGCCCCACCUGUGCAAAAUGCAACAUCACUCAACAAAAGGCCAGCCAUUCCAUAUGUAUCCUAACCCUAACAAUCCAAAGCACUAGAGGAAAGACUGGACUUGCAGUUAAUGUUUGUUGUUUUGCUUCUAUGCUUGUUGUACCCAGGUUCCAAAUUCUUCAGAAGGAUGCUAUUUUGCCAUUACACUUAUCAGAACAGAAAGAGGGAUUCUGCUUUUUAGAAAAUCCCUCUGCUGUGAGUCAUUCUGUUAGCUGGGGCCCUGAACCCUAGUAAAGGCCUCAAAGUUAUCCACAGUCUGUCAUGGAAAGAUAAGAGUGUCCUGUCAUUUCCAGCAGCAGCCAGGCAGCAGCACUGCCCAGUGACAGCUGGAGACAGAGUCAGGACCUAAUCUGCCAGCUGGGAAAUUUUGAGAUACUCUUCCCAACAGGAAAGCCAGGAUGUUGGGGACAUCCAGGCACCCAGGCUGGGGUGGCAUCAUGGGGAGGAGAGUGCAUACGGAAAGGCCCUCUUACCAAAGCAUGGACCUUCCUGGCUUACUCAACCGCGUGAAGGUACCCUAGUUUAUUUCUUGAGGUACAUUAUCUAAAGACACUUCUUAAAAAUGUUAAUCUUACUUCCUCACUCACAACUUCCCUUUAAAUACAACACAUCAGGGAUUUUCAUGAAUCCACGGGUCUCCCUGACUCCCGUGUGAUGGGGUCGAACUUGGUUUACCAGAUAGCAGAAUCCUGUCGUUUGCAACUUUGGGUCUUGAGGAAACCACAAGAGGUAAAUUACCAGUCAUUAGAGUGGACCUGUGUCAGCUUUAAAAACAAUCAUUAUCCUUUUAGUUUAUAAAAGGAGUGAAUCGAUUAAAUGGGCAUUUUAAUAGUGAAUUCUUGGUGACCUUUCCUGAACUAGUCGUCAAGGGUUCAGCAAAGCUUGGUUGGCUCCAUGGGGUUCUCCCCCUGCAGGCAAUUUGGGAAAACAUUCCUGUUAAAAUACAGCAUCACGGGUGUGGCUUCCACAUUUAACAGGGAGCUUUCUAGGCUCUCCCUCAGGCACCUGCUAGGACUACAAGGACCAGAUGCUCACUCUUCUCUUAGCAAGUUUCUGACUGGGAUUUUGAUUUGAACCUAGGGAGGGUUAGAAAAGGGAGUUUUUGCCGUGAUUAAAACUGCAGCUCCCUGAAUAUUUUCUGUCAAGAUUCCAAAUACAGUAACCCUUUUCAAUAUAGGUGAAUUUUGUUUUUUCUUUGUACUUGCAUAGGAAUAACAGUCUGACCUUUACUGAAAAUUAUUGAGGUUAUUACCUAGGAUAGAUUAAUUUUAUUAGAUCAGAGGUUACCUUUAUGUGAAUGUAAACCACACUGAUUUUUUAAAAAAAGUUCUCAAUGAAGUUAUGAGAUUUUCUCUUUAUAUUUUCUUUUAGGGAUAUGAAAAGCUAAUAUUAAUCAUUUUAAUAAAGGACAGCUGAAAAUUCCAACAGUGAUGAAUUGCAUUUAGAAAUGGGAAGUGAGAGCUGUCUCAGUAUCGUGUAACCUGGUUCCCCUCACACAGGCAGGUGUGUGGCCUUUGUACUCAGCUUUGACUUGCCCCAGGCAGGUCGUGGGGACCAAAGAUGCCAUGUCUCUUGUUUUCUCCAGAGAAAAGCCCAGUGGGCUCUGCCAGGUCAUCGAUUCCAUCUUACCAUCAAUGACACAGAAUGACACGGAAAAGAUUAAUGAGAAAUAAGCACAGAACCUGUGACUUUAAGACCCAUUUUCUCCAUACAGCUCAACUAUCCCAUCUGGGUUUAUUAGGGAUCUCCAGAGAAACAGAACCAAUAGGGUGUGUUUGUGUGUGUAUUUGUGUGUGUGUGAGGUGUGUGUAUUUGUGUAUUUGUUUAUGUGUGUGUGGUGUGUGUGUAUUUGUGUGUAUAUAUUUGUGUGUAUAUUUGUGUAUUUGUGUCUGUUUAUGUGUGGGGUUGUAUUUGUGUGUGUAUGUAUGGUGUGUAUAUUUGUGCAAUGCAUGUGUGGUGUGUGCAUCUGUAUGUGUGGUGUGUGUGUAUUUGUGUGUAUGUCUGUGUAUUUGUAUCUGGUGUGUGUAUUUGUGUAUAUGUGAUGUGUGUGUUGUGUCUGUACGUGUGUGUAUUUGUGUGUGUAGUGUGUGUAUGUGUGUGUAUUUGUGUAUGUAGUGUGUCUUUGUGUGUGGGCAUGUGUGUAAAGUGAGGACUGGCUCUGUGAAGGAGGCUGAGCAUCCCCCUAGCCACCAUCUACAAGCUGGACCCAGGAAGCUGAUUCUAUGGUCCAGUAUAAGUCCAGAGGCUGGGGACCCAGGAAGAUAAGAGUGUUGGCCCCAGUCUAGGGGCAGCAGAGGAUGAGCUGAGCUGUACCAGCUCUAAAAGUGAAGCAAGAAAGGGCAAAAAUUCCUCCUUCCUCCUCUUUUGUUCAGCAACUGAGAUGGUGCUGAUGCACUUUGGGGAGGGUCCACUUUCCUGGGUCCACUGAUUCACAUACUUGUCUCAACCAGAAACACCCUAGAUCCAUCUAGAAAUGAGGUUUACUCUGUGCCCCCUAUGGCCCACACAGGGAGACACAUACAGUUAGCCAGCACAUCUUUCCUGCGUUCUGCACGCGGUAAUGCACACCUCCCAUGUGUGUCCUCUGCCACUGUCUCUAGGAGCGCUGAGGCUAAAAGAAGAUUCAUGCAUGACUCUGAUUCCAUGCAGCUGAGUCAUGGUCUUGUGGACCAGAGGGGUCUUUAGCGUGUGUUUAAGGGUGUGGCUUUGAAGUUGGUGCAUUUAGACUAGGUCGUGACUCUCACAUACUAAAUCUAUGACUUGCCCAGAUUGUUAACUUGGUGCAUUGAUUUCUGUAUUGGUAAGAUGACUUUGACAAUGCUAAAUAUAUGAGAACAUCAUGAAGUUUCAAAGGAAUGAUCAGUUCCAAUAAACCUCACCCACUACCCACCAGAUUCUAUGCUAAAUUAAUGAGUCAGUAUUAGUUGUUAUCAUUACUGUUGUUCAAAAGUAGGCUUACCAAUUGCUUUUAUUAAGUAGUGGAGAGAGGCAUAGGUUUAUAUAUGACCAAAGAGGUGAUCAAGUAGGAUACUGAAAGGAGAGGUGGACUUUUCCAGAAGGAAAUAAUACUGAGGAAAGUGUCAUAAGUCCAGGGAGGGUGGUGAGCCACAGACAGGAAAGCUUAUGAAAGGCUCUGCUUGCCCUCUGUAUUGAAUGAUGCAGGUAAGGGAAACCACUGAAGGAUUCUAAGUAGGGAAGCGGCAAACACAUAUAUAUUUAGAAAUCCCCAGGAGAGUCUUGGGGGGAGUUGAUAUUAAAAAUGGAAACAUAUUAGAGGCAACAUAAGAAUAUACUGGAUUGAGGAGGAUUUAGAGUGUGAAAAAGGAACGACACAGAACAUUCCUACCUCUGACCCCCAGAGCGUCUGGGUGGACAGUCAGGUGGUCUGGGCAGAGCCCAUAUCUAACUAACAUAUGAUGCUGGACAUGUGAUUUGCCUUGUCCAAACUCCAAUGUGUUCAUAUUGACAUUUAGAAAAAUAAUGAUGCUCACUUGACCAGACUCAUGGAGUUUAAAAUGGAUAGCAUAUAUAGCAGACAUGAUAAAAAAAAAAAAAAGAACUGUGUAAACCACAUUUUGAAAAUUCUUGUUACUGUGCUUUCCAUGGGACAACAGCAUGAGUAAAGUUCUUUGGAUUCCUGGGUUGAACACUGUCAGCCCCGAUUUGCCAGCUCUGCAGGGAUGGGUUAGGUGGAAGCUCAUCAGAACAGGGAGGCUUCGACUUGAUCAGACACAGAGAAGUAGAGGGGGUGGGACUGCGAUGACCACACAGAGGGCUUGCUGCUCCAACAUUUAAUGGUCCCUGUAUUCACUUGGCUCCCUAGGUCAGUUCCCUGAAGUUCCAUGUUUUCUAAUGUAUCCUUCUUUUCCAAACCUCUGUUGCCAGCCAAGUAUUGAGGGAACUCAUAUGCACUCUUUUUAUCAAUGGUCUCUGAAAUCACCAGCUACUGCGAUUGCUUUGGUGAGGGGGUGAAUCUGGUCCAUGUGAGAAGUAGCUUCCUCUGGUGUGAGCCAAGUUGCCUUCUUGCCAAAUGGGCCCAGUCCUCCACCAUGUAUUUACUGAGUCAGUCCUUAGUGCUGUCACAAAGCUGGUAAGACAAAUGCACUCUGCUCCAAGAAAAAAAGCUAUAGGAGUUCCCCUUGUAGCUCAGUGGAAAUGAAUGUGACUAGUCUCCAUAAGGAUGCAGGUUCAAUCCCUGACCUUGCUCAGUGGGUUAAGGAUCCAGCAUUGUCAUGGGCUGUUUUGAAUCCACCUGAAUAGAGGAGGCAUGUGACAUCAUAAUUUGUGGAAUUGGUAAGUUCUUAAUUUUCCAGACAAGGUGCUCUGUCAGUGACCCUCUGGCAUCAGGCUGCCUGCCCCCUGGGCUCUGAGGGCCCCUUCCAAUUCCACAGCAAUCUCCUGGUACUGCCCUGCUAGGGUGUUUUACAGCAGACACAGCUUGGAUCCCAUGUUGCUGUUGCUGUGGCUAUGGUGUAGGGUAGUGGCUGCUGCUCUGAUUUGACCCCCAGCCUGGGAAACUGCCAUAUGCCUCAGGUGCAGCUC